rnacentral:rRNA from 1 species
CCUACGGGAGGCAGCAGUGGGGAAUAUUGGACAAUGGGGGCAACCCUGAUCCAGCCAUGCCGCGUGUGUGAAGAAGGCCCUCGGGUUGUAAAGCACUUUCAGUGAGGAAGAACGCCUGGUGGUUAAUACCCAUCAGGAAAGACAUCACUCACAGAAGAAGCACCGGCUAACUCCGUGCCAGCAGCCGCGGUAAUACGGAGGGUGCGAGCGUUAAUCGGAAUUACUGGGCGUAAAGCGCGCGUAGGUGGCUUGAUAAGCCGGUUGUGAAAGCCCCGGGCUCAACCUGGGAACGGCAUCCGGAACUGUCAAGCUAGAGUGCAGGAGAGGAAGGUAGAAUUCCCGGUGUAGCGGUGAAAUGCGUAGGGAUCGGGAGGAAUACCAGUGGCGAAGGCGGCCUUCUGGACUGACACUGACACUGAGGUGCGAAAGCGUGGGUAGCAAACAGGAUUAGAUACCCUGGUAGUC